AACGAACGCUGGCGGCAGGCCUAACACAUGCAAGUCGAGCGCCCCGCGAGGGGAGCGGCGGACGGGUGAGUAACGCGUGGGAACGUGCCCCUUGGUACGGAAUAGCCCUGGGAAACUGGGGGUAAUACCGUAUGUGGUCUACGGACGAAAGAUUUAUCGCCAAGGGAUCGGCCCGCGUUGGAUUAGGUAGUUGGUGGGGUAAUGGCCUACCAAGCCGACGAUCCAUAGCUGGUUUGAGAGGAUGAUCAGCCACACUGGGACUGAGACACGGCCCAGACUCCUACGGGAGGCAGCAGUGGGGAAUCUUGGACAAUGGGCGCAAGCCUGAUCCAGCCAUGCCGCGUGAGCGAUGAAGGCCUUCGGGUUGUAAAGCUCUUUCGUGGGGGAAGAUAAUGACUGUACCCCAAGAAGAAGCCCCGGCUAACUCCGUG
rnacentral:rRNA from 1 species